UACGUAGGUGGCAAGCGUUGUCCGGAUUUACUGGGCGUAAAGAGCGCGCAGGCGGUCGAUCAAGUCGAGUGUGAAACCUCCAGGCUCAACCUGGAGACGCCACCUGAUACUGCUGUGGCUAGAGUCCGGUAGGGGAGCGUGGAAUUCCUGGUGUAGCGGUGAAAUGCGCAGAUAUCAGGAGGAACACCAGCGGCGAAGGCGGCGCUCUGGGCCGGAACUGACGCUGAGGAGCGAAAGCGUGGGUAGCAAACAGG
rnacentral:rRNA from 1 species